CCUUUGCCAACUGACCAGGGGCUAUGGUCACUUCAGCUCUCUCCCUCUCCACAGCCAUGCAGCUUCCCUGCCGAUGGUCAAACUGAUAAGCAAGGAGGGGGUGAUUUGUAUCACCGUUAGGGCGCAGGGCUGUUCAGAGAGGUUGACGGAAGUAAAUGCUAAUUUUAUAAGUCCAUGUGUAUUUUUCACUUGUGAUAGUAAGUUCGCUUGUUCAGCAGUGUGCUGUGUAAAGAAGUGCUUCCUUUUCAACCCCAUUGGAUGAGCCCGGGUUCCGGAAUUAGGAGAGAAGGAUGAAAACUUAUCCCUGUCCACUUUACCCAACCUUGUGUGCAUAAAUAACUGUAAAUAAAAUAAAAGUUUGCUGCUUUUUUGUGUCAGCCGUCACAGGGGGCCUCUGCAAGCUGCCUAACGGCAGGCCAGGCCUUGAGUGGAAACCUGCCCAGAAAGCCUUGACAAAAGACUUCCCAGUGCAGCCUUCAUCUCUUUGUUCUUCAAAGCAUAGAUAGCUGGGUUCAGCAAGGGGGUGAUGGAAGUGUAGAAGACAGAGAGUACCUUAUCAAUCAUGAACCGGGUGUACGGACGCAAGUAAAUAAACAUAAUAGGUCCAAAGUACAUGGUGACCACGAUGAGGUGAGAGGUGCAUGUGGAGGCAGCCUUGGUGGUCCCUUCAGAGGGACCCCGGGAGCAGACUGUGUAGAGAAUGAAUCCAUACGAGAGAAGCAAGCCA